rnacentral:rRNA from 1 species
CCUACGGGGGGCAGCAGUGGGGAAUAUUGGACAAUGGGGGGAACCCUGAUCCAGCGACGCCGCGUGAGUGAAGAAGUAUUUCGGUAUGUAAAGCUCUAUCAGCAGUGAAGAAAGAAAUGACGGUACCUGACUAAGAAGCCCCGGCUAACUACGUGCCAGCAGCCGCGGUAAUACGGAGGGGGCAAGCGUUAUCCGGAUUUACUGGGUGUAAAGGGAGCGUAGACGGCGAUGCAAGUCUGAAGUGAAAGGCGGGGGCCCAACCUCCGGACUGCUUUGGAAACUGGAUGGCUGGAGUGCAGGAGAGGUAAGUGGAAUUCCUAGUGUAGCGGUGAAAUGCGUAGAUAUUAGGAGGAACACCAGUGGCGAAGGCGGCUUACUGGACUGUAACUGACGUUGAGGCUCGAAAGCGUGGGGAGCAAACAGGAUUAGAUACCCCAGUAGUC